rnacentral:rRNA from 1 species
UACGUAGGGUGCGAGCGUUAAUCGGAAUUACUGGGCGUAAAGGGCGCGCAGGCGGCUGCUCAAGUCAGGCGUGAAAGGCCUGGGCUCAACCCGGGAAUUGCGCUUGAGACUGGGCUGGCUUGAGUGCGGGAGAGGAUGGUGGAAUUCCCAGUGUAGAGGUGAAAUUCGUAGAUAUUGGGAAGAACACCGAUGGCGAAGGCAGCCAUCUGGACCGACACUGACGCUGAGGCGCGAAAGCGUGGGGAGCAAACAGG